GAGAAGAUGAGGUGUGUUUCUGUUACCCUUCUGCUGUGCCUGGCUACAAUGCUGCUCGCUCAAGUUACCUGCCAAAUAAGUGGCCGGUCAAAUUGCCUUUGUCUCAAGACAUUAAAUCGGGUUCCUCGCAAGGAAAAUAUUGAAAGUUACAUGAUUCAAAAGGCAGGCAUCUGCCAUAUUGAUGCUAUUUUAUUUAAAACUUUCAAAGGCCGUUUCAUUUGCGCUGAUCCACAAAACCCUUUGGCAAUAAAUGCCAGGAAACAUAUGGACAACAAGAAGAAGGCAACAACACGUAAACUCUGCAUCAACAUUUAAAACAGCAUCAGUGCUGAAUACCACAUCACAAUGGAAUACAACGGGAUGAACUGAGAACUACUUCACUUGAACUAUGCAAAUUUUUAACAUAUGUCUGUGAUGUUUGAGUUGGAUUUUAUUUUAUUUGCACAUGGUUAAUUAAAUUGUAUUGCGUAAAGUAUA